UACGGGGGGGGCAAGCGUUGUUCGGAAUUACUGGGCGUAAAGGGCGUGUAGGCGGCCAACUAAGUCCGACGUGAAAUCCCCAGGCUUAACCUGGGAACUGCGUCGGAUACUGGAUGGCUUGAAUCCGGGAGAGGGAUGCAGAAUUCCAGGUGUAGCGGUGAAAUGCGUAGAUAUCGUAAGGAAGACCAGUGGCGAAGGCGGGUCUCUGGACAGUUCCUGGACGCUGAGGCACGAAGGCCAG
rnacentral:rRNA from 1 species